ensembl:lncRNA
AAUUGGUUCCGGCACAGCCUGGUUUGUUUGGCAAUGUUUCCUCUAAUCCUUCAGGCUCCGCGCUCCCGGCCCCAGGGACAUGGGGACAUCUCGACACCCGGCCAGCGCCACUGCGGCACUCCCAGCUUGGACCCCCUCCCACACGGGGAAGCAGAAGAAUGAUGCUGCGACCGGCUCUGCCCACCCUGGGGUGCCCCCGGAUCCUUCAGGCUCUGCACUCCCAGCCCCACGGACACGGAGACAGCUCAACACGCAGCUGUGCCUCUGUGGCACUGCUGCCUUGGAUCCCUCUCCCACCCUGGCAUGCUGAGGGGUGAUGCUGGGACCACCCUGAAGUCCUCCUGGGGCUGCACCCUGCCGUGGUGACAUCCUGGGGAUGGGAUCCGUGGUGACACCCUGGGGAUGGGAUCCGUGGUGACACCCUGGGGAUGGGGCCGCCUUCUGCUGGGCACGGGGAGGAUGCUCAGAGGGCUGGGCAGGCUGGGGCGGCGGAGGGAAGGGACGGGAAAGGAGGGGAAGGGAAGGGGGGCCCCCACGGCCCAGCAUGGCCGAGCCAGAGCACUAGCCAAGAGUCGGCAGCUUUGUUCCAGGUGCCGGCUCCCUUUUUUUCAUUAGGCUAAUGGGAUGCGGAUGCAUUAUUCCAUUCCACAUGCUGCUAAUGAACCACUCAGGCCAGUGCAUUUGCAUUAAUGUGCAAAGCACUGGAGGAGGGUGGAGUGGCUGCAUCUGGCCAAGGCUGACCUUCCCUGCACCGCCCAGCCUCCCCAAGCUGCGCUGCGCUCCCACCACUCUCGCACCACCCCACCGGACCCAGGAACUCCUCGGGACGGCUCCGACGCACAUUCCAGGACACCAUAACCAGCCCUGAGCCGCCUCACACUUGCUGCCCACGUUGUCCUCUUGCCCGUGCUGUGCCUGGCCAGCUCCACCACCCCUUCCCAUAUGGAUCAUGGAUGACGCCCCCCUGCCACUGCCCCACUCUGUACCCUGUCCCCAGUGCAAAAGGGACCACAGCAUUCCUCCUGCACUCUCCACUGCUCCCCAGAAAGCGAUCACUCCCACCUCCUGCACAGAAACCUGCGGCGUGUCCCUCCUCCCCGGUUACUCGUACUGCCUCACCCCAGAGCUCCCCUCCUGCACCCAAGGAGAGCAGGGGGUGCUCUCCCAAGGCCCCCACCCCAGGGCUGGCAGGCAGCGCCGGGCGCGGGCGUCACUGCAGCCCUUGGGUUGUUUCUUACGGCUCCCAACUGCCUCUGUCCCCGGAGAGGUUUCGAAGGCGAGUGACCCACGAACUGGAAUGCGCAAAGCCUCCAGCAAACAGAGCCAGCUGCCUGCGCCCGCGCGGGGGGAGCGGUGAGGGGAGAGCAGCCGGCCCCGAGCCUCGGCACGGCACAGCACGGCAUGGCACGCCUGUUAUUCGGCAGCGCUCGGCCCCCCAGAGCUGUGCUGGGAUCGUGCUUUGCCCUGUGCCCGUCUGCAAGACAUCAGUCCUUGGGUGGCCGAAGGACCUUUAGGACAUGGGACAACAGAGCGGCAGUGGCAGAGCCCCGGCCUUGCUCUUUGCCACCUCCCAGACACUGGAGGGAUCCCAGCUGGAAUCGGUGGGGAUGAGCAGUGCUCUGCUUGCCCUGGGUGGGCAUGGCAGGGCCUCAGCAGCUCUGUGCCCGCCAAGUGUGCGAAGCCCCCGCACUCGAGCGCGUGCACGCGGGUGUCUGGGUUUGUCACAGCCCGGUGAGCAAGUUAAUCUCAGGCUCCCUGACACGUGGAAUAAAAUCGCGAUCCCGUAAUGGAAUUCA